rnacentral:rRNA from 1 species
UACGAAGGUUGCAAGCGUUACUCGGAAUUACUAGGCGUAAAGGGCUCGUAGGUGGCCAACUAAGUCAGACGUGAAAUCCCUCGGCUUAACCGGGGAACUGCGUCUGAUACUGGAUGGCUUGAGUUUGGGAGAGGGAUGCGGAAUUCCAGGUGUAGCGGUGAAAUGCGUAGAUAUCUGGAGGAACACCGGUGGCGAAGGCGGCAUCCUGGACCAACACUGACACUGAGGAGCGAAAGCCAGGGGAGCAAACGGG